rnacentral:rRNA from 1 species
GUGGGGAAUAUUGGACAAUGGGCGAAAGCCUGAUCCAGCCAUGCCGCGUGUGUGAAGAAGGUCUUCGGAUUGUAAAGCACUUUAAGUUGGGAGGAAGGGCAGUAAGUUAAUACCUUGCUGUUUUGACGUUACCGACAGAAUAAGCACCGGCUAACUACGUGCCAGCAGCCGCGGUAAUACGUAGGGUGCAAGCGUUAAUCGGAAUUACUGGGCGUAAAGCGUGCGCAGGCGGUUUUGUAAGACAGGCGUGAAAUCCCCGGGCUCAACCUGGGAACUGCCUCCAAAACUGCAUGACUAGAGUACGGUAGAGGGUAGUGGAAUUUCCUGUGUAGCGGUGAAAUGCGUAGAUAUAGGAAGGAACACCAGUGGCGAAGGCGACUACCUGGACUGAUACUGACACUGAGGUGCGAAAGCGUGGGGAGCAAACAGGAUUAGAAACCCCUGUAGUCC